rnacentral:lncRNA from 1 species
UUGGUCAACUCGAUAGAUUUUGGGGCCAGAGUUUUUUGUUGAUGAGACCACUUGAAGUUACUUCACGUUCCUAGCAAGAGAUGAUCUUGCUCCUUUCUACUAAGCUGCAGAAUCUUAUAUACGAAGAGGGAUGAAUAUACAUUAGGCAUACUACUUAGAGAUUCAGGGAUAUGACCUCUGUUCAAUCUCGUGACUGAUAUUUGGAAUGUCGUCUUCUACUGUAAAACGUGGACGGCACUGCAACGAUACAUCUCUUUGCCACCAUAGCUAACGGUGGCUCCGUCGAAGUAAUGGUUCAUAGUUGUUGGGAGCCCAAACCCUGAAGAUUUAGAACAGUCUUAUCCGUAUAACAGAACAAAAUGUCAUGUGAAACAGUGAUGUUGCAGGAAAGUAAGUGAUAGAUAAUACCUUCGGAGGAGAUGAAUCUACAUACAUGUCC